rnacentral:tRNA from 1 species
CAGGGAGACAACAAAAUGUUUAAUAUUAUUAUUUUGUCACCUUAGGUCGAUCGGUAUCUCACGUUCUUAAUUUGUUAAGAAUUUCAUUUCCUAAGUUUUUCUAGGUCACACCCAUUUUUUUUCCUGGGCCAUUAGCUCAGGUGGUUAGAGCGCACCCCUGAUAAGGGUGAGGUCCCUGGUUCAAGUCCAGGAUGGCCCAUUCGUUGUUGGGGGUAUAGCUCAGUUGGUAGAGCGCCUGCUUUGCAAGCAGGAUGUCAGCGGUUCGAGUCCGCUUACCUCCACUGAUUACCACCUCUUCCAUAAAUCUGUGAGAAAGGAAAAAUUUUUGUGUUGUGACCAUAUUCUGAACGAAUCUAGCUUCCUAAUAUUUUUAUUAAGAUGCUGGACUCAUUGAAUUAAUUUCAUUGUUUUCAGAGAACCUUGACAACUGCAUAGAUUUUUUUAAAGACAAUAAGCAUCUUAAUGAUGCAGAUUUAUUAUUUGUGCGAAUGCAUUAAUAACAAUUCUAUUAAGCUGAUGCUUCAAUUUUUGAAGUUAUU